ensembl:lncRNA
GGCUCCGUCUCGGCCAUGGCUCUGCGGCUGCUGCGCGGCGCGCCCGGGGCAGCGAAGUCCUCACUUCUUUGCCACUCACGAAGCACCUCCAGCUCUAAGCCAGGAGGAAGAUCUGAACCUGUUAAGCAGCCCCUAAAGAAACCAAAGUUACCAGUAGGGCGGUUUGAUGAACCAGAAGAGUCCAGUAUGGAGAAGGAACCCCUGGAAAAAUUCCCUGAUGGAAUCAAUCCUACUACAAAAGAGAGGGGUGGACCCAGAGGCCCUGAACCUACACGUUUUGGAGACUGGGAAAGAAAAGGACGUUGUAUAGAUUUCUAAUAUUUAAAUAACUGUAUUGCUAAUAAAAUAUUUCUAGUUGCUGAAAAAUAUAAUGUACAGAAAAAAAUCUCACCUGGAGCUUAUUGUUUCUGUCAUGCCACAACAUUCUCUCAUGUGAUGAAUUUUCUUAAUAAGGCAAUGUAAUUAAACACAGUGCUUCAGCUCAGAUUAUGGAGCUGUUAGUGGCUCAAUGUCUGCCUGAUCUUUAAUACUAUUUACACUGUGCAAGUAUAAGUGCAAGUCUAGUGGUGUGAAAUUGGUAGUCAGGUGCUUAUUGAGAUGCAUAAGGGCUUGUAUUUGUUCAUGAAUGUAAAGAUUUAUGUGGUGUUGUAAAAGUGUUGAAAGAACUUUUCAUUUCAUGAACCUGGAGACCAUUCAUCAAAGGUAGAACCAACUCUGAGGAGAUCAGUAGGUCACUGAUUUCACACAGUGGUUCCAUGGUAAAAGCCCUUUUACUGAAGAACCCUCCAUCUGUCCCUAUUGCAGUGGGUUGGGUGUUUUUUCCUGGUUGUAGGGAAGGGAUAGUGUUUUCUCUGAGGACUGUAAGUACUACAAUGGAAAUGGAAACUUUAAUUUUGGAGAGGGUCAGCUCUUGAUUGCAAGUAGUUUAGAGGUGCUCUGUUUGCGAUUCUAGAACACUGUCCUUUAUCAUCUGUCUUCUUCAUGCUACUUGCAUUAUCUUUUCUUUUGUGGAGGUGCCCUUUUGCACAUGGGCUAAAUGCUGCUUGGGAAAAAUACAGCCUUACUAUCUGAAACCUUAUGGUCAAAGGGGACAAAUUCCGUUAGGUGAUUUAAUAUUGCAAGUGUUAAAACUAAGUUAUCUGGCAUCAAACUAAAUAUCAGUCAGACUGAGCUUGGUUCUUCAUUCAAGAAUUUGCCUAGUCAUACGUACUGUAGUAGAGUAGUAGUAUUGUGCAAAUCUAUCACUUGUGUGGGUACUUACUAAUGAGAGUAAGUUGUCAUUGAAAUGUGAACAUGUGCUCUAUUUCUGUGCAAAUUCUUUCUGAUAUCCUGAACAAAUGGAUCUUCUCUAGUCAUAGAAUCAGAGAAAGGUGUGGGCUUUGUCCAGCUUUUAGAGUGUGUUGGUAUUGUCACAAAUCUGAGCGGCAUCCCCUAAAUCACUUGACGGGCAGCCAGCGGGAGCUCCUUGUUGAAAUUUGAGGUUGUGUAUCCAGUGUGUAUGUUAGAGACACAGUCUUGCUGUAGUUGUGAGUUUGGAUGUUUGUCUCACUGUGAUGAUUCCCUACAAAAAUAUUGAACCUAUUCAGUUACAGGUUUAUCAACCAAAUACCUCACUGACAAGAAAAAUAAAAUUAACAAAAACCUGUUUCUCAUAAAAGGUGUUAAUUAGUGGUAAUUAGAUUUCAAACCUUUAAAUUCUGCAGCAUGGCUUGGAUAUUGGAAAAUUGGUUUGUAUUUAUAUCUGAUUCAUUGUAGUUUCCCUUCUGUAUAGUGACAGAUCUUUUCAAAAUAUAUUGACAUAUAUAGCUACCUAAAGCUAGGCUAGGUCAGCUGUCUUUAGUUUGUUAAUUAUUUCUAGUAAUGUUUGGCCUUUUCAGUUGCUGGUGUGUUGGAAAAUCCUUUCUUACACAAUACACCACCUUUUCAAAUAGGAAGUGGAAAUUUUAGUUGGAAGCUUCUGAUGCCUUUUCUGCAUCAUUAUUAAUAGGCUUAACAUCUUAGUUCACGAAGUAGCGGUAAAAUACUGCAAUUAUUUUAUUUUUAAAUUCUAAAUCUUCUCCAUGGAUUGUUGCAUUACUUCAUUAUCUUCUCAUACCAGGUUUUACCCUUCCCAGCACACACUUCAUGAAUGUUUACCUAGUUGCACUUCUUGGCAUUCCUGAUUUUCAAAUCUAAUUACUUUCCUCAGUGCCGACUGCAGGUACAUUCCUCCCUGGAUGCAGACUUACACUGUUUUGAUUUAGCAUAUGAAGAACUGGUCUCACUUUUCCAUCAUUUUCCUUACAUUUCAGUUGCUUAUCUUCAGUCUCCCUCAGCUUUGUGAUUAAGGGCUGACCCAAGUACUGUCCAGGCCCCUGCUUGUCUUCUUUGAUGCAGGUAAUGACUGCUGCUGUCAGAGGCACAGGCAGGCAGCCCUUCCUGUCAGAGCUCAGGCACGUCCUAGACACUCCAUGCCAGUAUCCAUGAAGUACCUGGAUUCUGAAGAUAAUUCUGAGAGUGCUAGCAUCUGUACCAAUAGGACAGUGUGUCUCAUAAAGGCAGGGAUUUUGCUUUCCUUCAAAAAACAGAAUCACAGAAUAAUUUUUAGAAAUUAUUUGAUUUAUAUAGAAUUAUUUCAUAGACCUGACCUAAGAUCAUCAAGUCCAACCACUGCCAAGUCUGCCACUAAAUCAUGUUCUUGAGUGCCACAUUUACACAUAUUUUAAAUACCUCCAGGGAUGGUGACUCAACCACUUCAUGAGCAGUCUGUUUUAAGCUUGACAGCCCUUUUGUUGAAUAUUUUUUUCCUAAAAUAAAAAGGCUGUUGUUAACCCAUGUUAUAAAUAGCUGAAAAGGAAUUAGUGCAUGGGGAAGAGAGAAUACCACUUCAGUCUUGAGCAACUUCCAGCCUUUUUUACCACCUCCCAGGCUGGUGCCAGUAACCAAGUAUUUGCUUAACUUGUUUCUGGAAUGUCAGUAAGACAUAGGAGACUGAACAUAUAAGUAAAAUAAUAUGUAAGAGUAAAAGAGUGAAUGCCAGGGGGCAUCUUUCUUACAUUGUCUGGCAAUCUGGCAUUUACCAAAAAGAGGAGCCCUAGGCUCCAGUAACAGUUAAGCACAAAAUCCUAUGGUGCUGCAAAAUCUUGUGGUACCUGUCAAAAGUGAUCAGGGAUUGAAUGUAACAGAUGAUACAAUGGUAUUCUAGGAUAUAAAUUAUCAUUUCCCUUUGUUUUCUUGCAGUGCCAGCAGGUAGGAAAGCAGCACUUCAGCACUUUUUUGGAGCUGUCUUCCUGCUCUUCCCAGAUAAUUACUAUUAGCAAUUCAUUGGAAUUUAGCAUUAGGUAAGAAAAUGGCUUGGGGCAUUAGCUAUUAGAUCAGCCAUAGGUAUGCUUUUAUCAUAAAUACUGAUUGAUUUUUUUUUUUUUUAAGCUCUUCUUAAUAUAAAGAGUGAAGAGCAGCAGGGGCUAUAUCCUAACAUUUUCUGUUAACUUUCUGUGAGACAAAGGAAAAUUGCUCUGUGUGUGUAAGCAAAUUCUUGUAGUACUGCAGGAUGCUAGCUGCUCUGUUUCAUUUUCUUUAAUAAAAAUCUGUAUGCUGUAUUUCUGCAGUAGGUUUUCUCUUUUAAAUUUGUUUCUGCUACUUGACAUAGAUGCAUUUGGUACAUUAUUAAAAUUACAAAGUCUUUAUUAUUUUAAGGAAUUGCACUAUAAUUACUUUAUUUCAAAAUACAUGAACUUUCAAUUUACAAUUAAAGAAAAUAUUGAAUAUUUGCUAUAUAUUGCCUUGUUAGAAAGCAUGUAUUUCACUGUUGAUUUUAUUAAAUUGAAACACAGGAUACAUACUAGAAUCAUAGUAAAGUUACCUGUGAUGGUAGCAUAUGUUUAUAAAGCACCAUAGAAUGUUGUUACAAAUCUUUACUACAUUUUCAGUUGACUGCAAUAAAUGAUGUCAAAUUCCAGUGGUCUGUAGUGACAGAUAAAUUAAAUGCCUUUUUAUGACCC